rnacentral:rRNA from 1 species
GAUUGUUCACCCACCAAUAGGGAACGUGAGCUGGGUUUAGACCGUUAUGAGACAAGUUAGUUUUACCGUACUGAUGACAAUAUCGUAACAGUAAUUCAACCGAGUACGAGAGGAACCGUUGAUUCGCACAAUUGGUCAUCACGCUUGGUUGAAAAGCCAAUGGCGCGAAGCUACCGUGCGCUGGAUUAUGAUUGAAUGCCUCUAAGUCAGAAUCUGGGCUAGAAGCGAUGCAUGCACCGGCCGUCCGCUUGCCGACCUGCAGUAGGGCCUGUCCGGCCCCCAAAGGCAAGUGUCGUUGGUGAAGCCCGUGUGGCGGAUGAGCCGUACGGGCCGCCUUGAAAUACAAUUCCUAUCUCAAGCGGCGGGUAGAAUCCUUUGCAGACGACUUAAAUACGUGACGGGAUAUUGUUAGUGGCAAAGUGGCCUUGCUACCACGAUCCACUAAGAUUUAACCCUGCGUCGCUCCGAUUCGUCCCUCCC